AUUGAACGCUGGCGGCAGGCCUAACCCAUGCAAGUCGAGCGGAUGAUGGUAGCUUGCUACCUGAUUCAGCGGCGGACGGGUGAGUAAUGCCGAGGAAUCUGCCUGGUAGUGGGGGACAACGUUUCGAAAGGAACGCUAAUACCGCAUACGUCCUACGGGAGAAAGUGGGGGAUCUUCGGACCUCACGCUAUCAGAUGAGCCUAGGUACGAUUAGCUAGUUGGUGAGGUAAAGGCUCACCAAGGCGACGAUCGUUAACUGGUCUGAGAGGAUGAUCAGUCACACUGGAACUGAGACACGGUCCAGACUCCUACGGGAGGCAGCAGUGGGGAAUAUUGGACAAUGGGCGAAAGCCUGAUCCAGCCAUGCCGCGUGUGUGAAGAAGGUCUUCGGAUUGUAAAGCACUUUAAGUUGGGAGGAAGGGCAGUAAGUUAAUACCUUGCUGUUUUGACGUUACCGACAGAAUAAGCACCGGCUAACUUCGUGCCAGCAGCCGCGGUAA
rnacentral:rRNA from 1 species